UCUAUUUGCAGUGAGCAAGAAAGCCUCAUGGAUCAAAAGGAGCUUUGCCAGGGAAAAUUUCUUUUACUGUUAUGAUAAAAGGAUGUCUUGUCUCCAUGAAGAGAUUACUUAUACAGGUCAGCUUUUGCAGGCAGGAGGAAAGUCCCUGGCUCGAGGAGAUUACAAGUAGGAUAAUGCAGCAGUGAAGCCAGAUAGCUGGCAAUGGAUGACAGUGACAUUCAAAGAAAACAGAUGCCACAAAGCCUGGAUCAUCAGAGGCUGCUACUUGAAAGAGGAGACAUCUCCAUAAGGGGCACGCACGGGCACCCUGAAGAACUUUCCAUAGCUCUGCUCCUGGCUCAUCUGAGCAAUUUGUCUUGCUGUAGUUUGCAAAGAAAGAAAAGAAAAUUGUAUCUUGGUUUAUUAUCUGUUUAUUUUCUUUUGGGGAAUUUGUCUAUAAUCUCCAUCUCCAUGGGUGGGGAACAAAAUAUUUAAGUUAGUUAAAGAUCUUUUUGUCCUGAAGUGAAUAGACCUUAUAAUAGUUUUCUCCUCAUU